GGGGAUUUAGCUCAGUGCCAUAAGCACCUGCCUUGCAAGCAGGUGGUCGUAAGUUCAAUCCCUG
rfam:Cavia porcellus supercont2_11 genomic scaffold, whole genome shotgun sequence.